rnacentral:rRNA from 2 species
UAGCCUGAGACGUGAUGCGUAGCCGAUUGAGGCGAAUUCAGUGAUCCUAUGCUGCCGAGAAAAGCCUCUAGCGAGCUUUCACACGGCCCGUACCCCAAACCGACACAGGUGGUCAGGUAGAGAAUACUAAGGCGAUCGAGAUAACUAUGGUUAAGGAACUCGGCAAAAUGCCCCCGUAACUUCGGGAGAAGGGGGGCCCUGUUUGGUGACGACAUUUACUGUCUGAGCUGGGUGGGGCCGCAGAGACCAGUGAGAAGCGACUGUUUACUAAAAACACAGGUCCGUGCGAAGUCGUAAGACGAUGUAUACGGACUGACGCCUGCCCGGUGCUGGAAGGUUAAGAGGACCGGUUAGUUCCUUCGGGAGCGAAGCUGAGAAUUUAAGCCCCAGUAAACGGCGGUGGUAACUAUAACCAUCCUAAGGUAGCGAAAUUCCUUGUCGGGUAAGUUCCGACCUGCACGAAUGGCGUAACGACUUCUCAGCUGUCUCAACCGUAGACUCGGCGAAAUUGCAUUACGAGUAAAGAUGCUCGUUACGCGCGGCAGGACGAAAAGACCCCGGGACCUUCACUACAGCUUGGUAUUGGUGUUCGGUUCGGUUUGUGUAGGAUAGGUGGGAGACUGUGAAACGGUGACGCCAGUUAUCGUGGAGUCGUUGUUGAAAUACCACUCUGAUCGAAUUGGACCUCUAACCUCGGACCAUGAUCUGGUUCAGGGACAGUGCCUGGUGGGUAGUUUAACUGGGGCGGUUGCCUCCCAAAAUGUAACGGAGGCGCCCAAAGGUUCCCUCAGCCUGGUUGGCAAUCAGGUGUCGAGUGCAAGUGCACAAGGGAGCUUGACUGUGAGACUGACAGGUCGAGCAGGGACGAAAGUCGGGACUAGUGAUCCGGCACCGGCAAGUGGAAGCGGUGUCGCUCAACGGAUAAAAGGUACCCCGGGGAUAACAGGCUGAUCUUCCCCAAGAGUCCAUAUCGACGGGAUGGUUUGGCACCUCGAUGUCGGCUCGUCGCAUCCUGGGGCUGGAGUAGGUCCCAAGGGUUGGGCUGUUCGCCCAUUAAAGCGGCACGCGAGCUGGGUUUAGAACGUCGUGAGACAGUUCGGUCUCUAUCCGCCGCGCGCGUUAGAAACUUGAGGAAGGCUGUCCCUAGUACGAGAGGACCGGGACGGACGAACCUCUGGUGUGCCAGUUGUUCCGCCAGGAGCACCGCUGGUUAGCUACGUUCGGAAGGGAUAACCGCUGAAAGCAUCUAAGCGGGAAGCCUGUUCCAAGAUGAGGUUUCUCACCCCCUCGAGGGGGUAAGGCCCCCGGCAGACCACCGGGUUGAUAGGCCAGAACUGGAAGUGCAGUAAUGCAUGCAGGUGACUGGUACUAAUAGGCCGAGGACUUACCAC